rnacentral:rRNA from 1 species
AAAUAUAUGUUAAGUGGAAAAGGAUGUGGGGUUGCUUAGACAACCAGGAUGUUGGCUUAGAAGCAGCCACCAUUGAAAGAGUGCGUAAUAGCUCACUGGUCGAGUGACCCCGCGCCGAAAAUGUACCGGGGCUAAACAUAUUACCGAAACUGUGGAUGAACCUCUUUAGAGGUUCGUGGUAGGAGAGCGUUCUAAGGGCGGUGAAGUCAGACCGGAAGGACUGGUGGAGCGCUUAGAAGUGAGAAUGCCGGUAUGAGUAGCGAAAGAAGGGUGAGAAUCCCUUCCACCGAAUAUCUAAGGUUUCCUGAGGAAGGCUCGUCCGCUCAGGGUUAGUCGGGACCUAAGCCGAGGCCGAUAGGCGUAGGCGAUGGACAACAGGUAGAGAUUCCUGUACCAGUGCUAAUUGUUUAACCGAUGGGGUGACACAGAAGGAUAGGGAAUCGCACGAAUGGAAAUGUGCGUCCAAGCAGUGAGUGUGAGAAGUAGGCAAAUCCGCUUCUCGCGAAGCAUGAGCUGUGAUGGGGAAGGAAAUUAAGUACGGAAGUUCCUGAUUUCACGCUGUCAAGAAAAGCCUCUAGGAAGAGUAGUACUGCCCGUACCGCAAACCGACACAGGUAGAUGAGGAGAGAAUCCUAAGGUGAGCGAGAGAACUCUCGUUAAGGAACUCGGCAAAAUGACCCCGUAACUUCGGGAGAAGGGGUGCUCUAUUAGGGUGCAAGCCCGAGAGAGCCGCAGUGAAUAGGCCCAGGCGACUGUUUAGCAAAAACACAGGUCUCUGCAAAACCGUAAGGUGACGUAUAGGGGCUGACGCCUGCCCGGUGCUGGAAGGUUAAGAGGAGUGCUUAGCUUCGGCGAAGGUACGAAUUGAAGCCCCAGUAAACGGCGGCCGUAACUAUAACGGUCCUAAGGUAGCGAAAUUCCUUGUCGGGUAAGUUCCGACCCGCACGAAAGGCGCAACGAUCUGGGCACUGUCUCAACGAGAGACUCGGUGAAAUUAUAGUACCUGUGAAGAUGCAGGUUACCCGCGACAGGACGGAAAGACCCCGUGGAGCUUUACUGCAACCUGAUAUGGAAUGUUUGUACCGCUUGUACAGGAUAGGUAGGAGCCGAAGAGACGUGUGCGCUAGCAUACGAGGAGGCAAUGGUGGGAUACUACCCUGGCUGUAUGACCAUUCUAACCCGCCACGCUUAGCGCGUGGGGAGACAGUGUCAGGUGGGCAGUUUGACUGGGGCGGUCGCCUCCUAAAGAGUAACGGAGGCGCCCAAAGGUUCCCUCAGAAUGGAUGGAAAUCAUUCGCAGAGUGUAAAGGCACAAGGGAGCUUGACUGCGAGACUGACAAGUCGAGCAGGGACGAAAGUCGGGCUUAGUGAUCCGGUGGUUCCGCAUGGAAGGGCCAUCGCUCAACGGAUAAAAGCUACCCCGGGGAUAACAGGCUUAUCUCCCCCAAGAGUCCACAUCGACGGGGAGGUUUGGCACCUCGAUGUCGGCUCGUCGCAUCCUGGGGCUGUAGUCGGUCCCAAGGGUUGGGCUGUUCGCCCAUUAAAGCGGCACGCGAGCUGGGUUCAGAACGUCGUGAGACAGUUCGGUCCCUAUCCGUCGCGGGCGCAGGAAAUUUGAGAGGAGCUGUCCUUAGUACGAGAGGACCGGGAUGGACACACCGCUGGUGUACCAGUUGUUCCGCCAGGAGCAUCGCUGGGUAGCUAUGUGUGGCAGGGAUAAACGCUGAAAGCAUCUAAGCGUGAAGCCCCCCUCAAGAUGAGAUUUCCCAUUUCUUCGGAAAGUAAGAUCCCUGAAAGAUGAUCAGGUAGAUAGGUUUGGAGUGGAAGUGUAGCGAUACAUGGAGCGGACAAAUACUAAUCGAUCGAGGACUUAACCAAAA